rnacentral:rRNA from 1 species
AACGAACGCUGGCGGCAUGCCUAACACAUGCAAGUCGAACGAGACCUUCGGGUCUAGUGGCGCACGGGUGCGUAACGCGUGGGAACCUGCCCUUAGGUUCGGAAUAACUCCCCGAAAGGGGUGCUAAUACCGGAUAAUGUCUUCGGACCAAAGAUUUAUCGCCUUUGGAUGGGCCCGCGUUGGAUUAGCUAGUUGGUAGGGUAAAAGCCUACCAAGGCGACGAUCCAUAGCUGGUCUGAGAGGAUGAUCAGCCACACUGGGACUGAGACACGGCCCAGACUCUUGUGGGAGGCAGCAGGGGUGAAUGUGAGAAAGGGGGCGAGAGACUAACCCACCAGUGCCGGGUGAGUGAGGAGGGCUUUGGGGUUGAAAAGCUUUUUCCCCCGGUAGGAAAAGAAAGUCCCGGGAAAAAAAGCCCCCGGAUACCUCCGGG